rnacentral:rRNA from 1 species
GAUGAACGCUGGCGGCGUGCCUAAUACAUGCAAGUCGAGCGAACAGAUAAGGAGCUUGCUCCUUUGACGUUAGCGGCGGACGGGUGAGUAACACGUGGGUAACCUACCUAUAAGACUGGGAUAACUUCGGGAAACCGGAGCUAAUACCGGAUAACAUUUGGAACCGCAUGGUUCUAAAGUGAAAGAUGGUUUUGCUAUCACUUAUAGAUGGACCCGCGCCGUAUUAGCUAGUUGGUAAGGUAACGGCUUACCAAGGCGACGAUACGUAGCCGACCUGAGAGGGUGAUCGGCCACACUGGAACUGAGACACGGUCCAGACUCCUACGGGAGGCAGCAGUAGGGAAUCUUCCGCAAUGGGCGCAAGCCUGACGGAGCAACGCCGCGUGAGUGAUGAAGGGUUUCGGCUCGUAAAACUCUGUUAUUAGGGAAGAACAAAUGUGUAAGUAACUGUGCACGUCCUGACGGUACCUAAUCAGAAAGCAACGGCUAACUACGUG